rnacentral:rRNA from 1 species
UACAGAGGGGGCAAGCGUUGUUCGGAAUUACUGGGCGUAAAGGGCGCGUAGGCGGCCCGCUAAGUCGAACGUGAAAUCCCCCGGCUUAACCUGGGAACUGCGUCUGAUACUGGGAGGCUAGAGUGCGGGAGAGGGAUGCGGAAUUCCAGGUGUAGCGGUGAAAUGCGUAGAUAUCUGGAGGAACACCGGUGGCGAAGGCGGCAUCCUGGACCGACACUGACGCUGAGGCGCGAAAGCGUGGGGAGCGAACAGG